UAUACGGUCUCAAGGCACAUUGU
rnacentral:miRNA from 1 species